CCUCAAGGCGGGGGGAGCGGUUUGAUCCAUAAACUCCUCGACGAGACCGCUCUCAGGCAGGAGAUCUAGAAGCAGGGAUCUCAGCCACAAAUGCUGGCCAUUCAAGGCAGAGGGAUGAGCGAGGAAGCUGGAGCCAGAGGGACAAGCCAUGUGGUCACAGGGAGAACACGCCUCAGCUUUAAGGGUGAAUCAUUUUGCUAAGGGCAG